rnacentral:rRNA from 1 species
AACGAACGCUGGCGGCGUGCUUAACACAUGCAAGUCGAACGUGAUUGGAAGCUUGCUUCCAUGAAAGUGGCGCACGGGUGAGUAACGCGUGGAUAACCUGCCCUGGUAUCUGGGAUAACAUCUCGAAAGGGGUGCUAAUACCGGAUAAGCUUACGGUCUCCUCGGAGGCUGUGAGAAAAGGUGGCCUCUAUUUAUAAGCUACUGUAUCAGGAUGGGUCCGCGUACCAUUAGCUAGUUGGUAGGGUAAUGGCCUACCAAGGCGACGAUGGUUAGCUGGUCUGAGAGGAUGAUCAGCCACACUGGAACUGAGACACGGUCCAGACUCCUACGGGAGGCAGCAGUGGGGAAUUUUGCGCAAUGGGGGCAACCCUGACGCAGCAACGCCGCGUGAGUGAUGAAGGCUUUCGGGUCGUAAAGCUCUGUCAGUGGGGAAGAAAUGGGACUGGCUAAUAUCCAGUUUCCUUGACGGUACCCACAAAGGAAGCACCGGCUAACUCCGUGCCAGCAGCCGCGGUAUUAC